rnacentral:misc_RNA from 1 species
CUCAUAUCGAGCAAUGGAGAAUAUGAGAGUCACAUUGACACUUAUGCCAUUUGCAAUAGUAUCCCUAAUCGAUGGGAUGCAAGCAGCAGUAGCAGGGAUCUUGAUGUACACAUUCGGGCGGCUAACGACUUUGUGGAGCCACUUUGCAGCCUCAACGGUGCCUUCAGUAUCAUCAGCAAGCUUUGGAGAGACUUCGACUGAAACAUAGCCAUCACCAGCAUCUGUUUGAUCGUAGAUAGGCUCAAAAAGUUUGCAUGCAUCUUGAAUAUCCUUCACCACAAGCUCCCAAUAUGCACUUUCAAUAUCUUUUCCCGAUUGAACAAGUUCUCUGAAUUGGUCGUUGUAAGCAUUUGAAGACGAAAUUGCUUUCUGGAAAAUUGCUGGGUUGCUAGUUACACCUCUGACACCCUUAGAAAUAAGAGGAAGCAAGUCAGUGACAGGGCGGCAGAGAUUAUCGUACCAUGGGGACUGUCCUUCCUUUUCAUAGAGAUCAUGAAGCACCGUUCUCUUCACUGGGAUUCCAUUUCCAUCACCUUGGGAACACCUAACAACCAAGGAACCCUUCAAACCGGAAGCUCUGUGAAGGGACAAUUUAGACGCGGAGAGCUUGGUGAAGAAGUCAGAAGAGGGGCGGAAGGCGAUGAAGGAGCUGGAGGAGAGGGAAGAUCGCGGGUUAACAGAGGAGGAUAGAGAAGGAGCAGAGAUGGAAGUGGACAGCUUGGAAAUGGAAGCCAUGCGAGCAAGCGAUCAAAGGAAGAGCCGCCGAGACGAGGGAGAAGAUGGUUGGUGAAAUGGGAGAUGCUUUUGGUGG